CGCGGCCUAUCAGCUUGUUGGUGGGGUAACGGCUCACCAAGGCAUCGACGGGUAGCAGGUCUGAGAGGACGAUCAGCCACACUGGGACUGAGACACGGCCCAGACUCCUACGGGAGGCAGCAGCAGGGAAUAUUGCGCAAUGGGCGAAAGCCUGACGCAGCGACACCGCGUGAAGGAUGAGGCCCUCGGGUUGUAAACUUCUUUCAGUGGGGAAGAAGCGAAAGUGACGGUACCCACAGAAGAAGCCCCGGCCAACUACGUGCCAGCAGCCGCGGUAAUACGUAGGGGGCAAGCGUUGUCCGGAUUCAUUGGGCGUAAAGAGCUCGUAGGCGGCUUGGCAAGUCGGUCGUGAAAUACCGAGGCUCAACCUCGGAACGCCGAUCGAAACUGCCAUGGCUAGGGUCCGGUAGAGGAGAGUGGAAUUCCCGGUGUAGCGGUGAAAUGCGCAGAUAUCGGGAGGAACACCAGUAGCGAAGGCGGCUCUCUGGGCCGGUACCGACGCUGAGGAGCGAAAGCGUGGGGGGCAAACAGGAUUAGAUACCCUGGUAGUCCACGCCGUAAACGUUGGGUACUAGGUGUGGCGGGUUCAUCAAUGCCCGCCGUACCGAAGCUAACGCAUUAAGUACCCCGCCUGGGGAGUACGG
rnacentral:rRNA from 1 species